rnacentral:misc_RNA from 1 species
GAAAUGCGAUAAGUAAUGUGAAUUGCAGAAUUCAGUGAAUCAUCGAAUCUUUGAACGCACAUUGCGCCCGCCAGCAUUCUGGCGGGCAUGCCUGUUCGAGCGUCAUUUCAACCCUCGAGCCCCCCCCGGGGGCCUCGGUGUUGGGGGACGGCACACCAGCCGCCCCCGAAAUGCAGUGGCGACCCCGCCGCAGCCUCCCCUGCGUAGUAGCACACACCUCGCACCGGAGCGCGGAGGCGGUCACGCCGUAAAACGCCCAACUUUCUUAGAGUUGUCCUCAACUCGAGUGAGAUUACCCGCUGAACUUAA